CACUUCUCCAGCUGUAACUGAAUCUCGAGGCAAGCAAAUCAGUGAGCCAGAGCCUUUGCCAUCUGUCUGUAUAGUCUUGGUGGCAAAGAAUCGAACACCCUCAGGUUCAAGGAUGCUCUGGGACAAAGGAGCCUAAAGAUCUACAGCUUUAACAAGUUUUGAAUACAGAGUACAAGCCUGAUGCAGUUCUGAAGAAAGUAAUUAAAGAUCACAUGGGGUCUGCCAUGAUAAAUAGGAUACUCUGAAUGUAAGCUGCCUCUUUAUUCUCCGACUAUAUAGCUUGCUGUUAUUGGAAAGUAAAACUCCCAGGUGGUUGUCACCAAUGGAAGCUAAAGAGGUGAAAAAACUUAAUAUGGAGUCUAAAUGGCCAAAAUAUUGUGAAAUUUUAGAACAAGAUGGGGAAAAAGUUAAAUUACAGAGUUAUGAGAAAUUAAAGUCCAAAGUGCGAGAUUGGUUGCACUACCUUCAGAUAAACGAGACAUUUAAACAGGACAGGAAAAUAGGUUUCCAGAUGGAGAGGUCAAAAUUAGAAACAGAACUGUUAGAACCCAAUACUAAGAAUCUGUCGAGAAUGUAUAAUCUGCUGUUGAAAUGGAACACACAGGAUGAAACGGUGAAAUCAGCUAUGAUAAAAUGGGCACAAGAUAUUGGUCAUAACAUUAUGUUUGCUGACUGGGAACAGCUGUGGACCACCGGUACUAAAUUUACGGCAUGUAAUGCCUUAAGAGAAAACAUUAUGAAAAUGAUGUAUAGGUGGUACAUGACCCCAGUCAAGCUUGCAAAAAUUUAUCAUCUGCCCAAUAACAAAUGUUGGAAAUGUAAUGAGACUGAAGGUACUUUUACCACCUUUGGUGGACCUGCCCGAGGAUAAAAGCUUUUGGGAAAUGAUCUAUAAUGAAAUUAAGAAGGUUCUUAAAUGGACCUUCCUAAAAACCUGAGGCUUUUCUCCUGGGCAUUGUCGGCCAAUUGGUGAGAAGGGAAGGACAGGACGUUUUUUAUGUAUGCGACCACAGCAGCAAGGAUUCUUCUAGCAAAGUAUUGGAAGGCACAACAACUACCCACACUGGAAGAAUGGCAGACGAAGGUGAUCGACUACAUGGGACUGGCGGAGUUGACUGGCAGAAUCCGUGACCAGGGGAAAGAGACAGUGGAAGAAGAUUGGAAGAAAUUCAAAGUUUAUCUUAGAACUUGUUGUAAAAUUCAGGAAUGUUAAAAUGUCAAGGGGUUGGGAAACAGAGAAUUGCAGCUGUAAUUAACAAUAUUAGAAGAACUUAAAAGAAAUUGAAUUGAAUAAUUAGUCGACUGAGGAGUUGCUGAAGAAAUAUAAAACAAGGAUGCAGAAAAGGGGAGGUAUGGGGAAGUCCGGAAAGUAAGGUUUAUGAAAAAAUGGUUAUGAAAUUAUACAUGUUUAUAUGUUUGUAUGUCGGUGUAUUGUGUAUUGUUUUUUUUUUUUUAUUUUUUAUUUUGUGUUUGGAAAAUUAAUAAAAAUUUAUUUUAAAAAAAAAAAAAAAAGACUAUAUAGCUUGCUGUAGACCUAGCGGUAGCAUUGUAACACAAGCUUACAGUCAGGGCUAAACUAGCAGUGGUGAGCAUGUAAAGAAGGACCGGGUAAUAUCAUAGUUUCUACUGUGAUGUUUCUGUGUCCAAGAACAGGCACCAAGAAUGAGGAAUAGUUUAUUAGAAAGCACUUUAUGCAGAGGAAAUUCAAAGACCCCUUGCCAGCACUGAAACUAAAGGACUAAGGAGCUGCCCAUGUAAUGUUACUCCCUGGAGAAUUCUCAAAAUGCCAAAUUCUUAACGCUAAGGGAGUGUCAACAGAUCACAAGUUCCAUCAUUACAUUUUCCAUCCCUCUUUUCCUUACUCUUAGAAGGGAAGAAGGUGAGAACCUUUCCAGGUAGGUGGGAGGCCACAGUGCUGGCCUGUGGAUACCAGCUGCAGGACCUCCUAAAUCAUGGGUACCAGGGUGAUUUUUGCAGGGUUCUAUAUCACUUGGAGUAUCUACACAGAAGGAAUCAGGCUCCUAGCUCCAUAGAGUCACCUUCCAGCAUGUGCAGGAUUAUGGGUGGGGUGGGGUAAAUCAUCAUCAUCAUCAUCUAUUAUUUAUACCCCACCCAUUUGGCUGGGUUUCCCCAGCCACUCUGGGCAGUUUCCAACAAAGGAUUAAAAAUACAUUAAAACAUCAGUCAUUAAAAACUUCCCUAAACAGGGCUGCCUUCAGAUGUCUUCUAAACGUCAGAUAGUUGUUCUCACAAACUCCUCCAUCCUUCGUAUAUAUCAGCAAUAACAUACAUCUGACCUGUUGGCUUAAUUAGGCCUGCCAGUCCUCUCCAUUUGGCCCAGCCAUGCCCACCUUACUGACAUCGAGCCGAAAAGGGGUUGACAGGUACUGCUGACCAGCUCAUUGGCGACACCUGCAAAGCCCCGGACAUCAGCUUGAUCAUUGGGGCUAGCAUAGCUGUGAGCACCUUAUUUUGCAUGCCCUGGUGGUCAGCUGAUGGUUGGGGCUUGCAAAGCACAAUGCACUGCACUCUGCCUGCACACUUUGAGUGGGGUGGGCAAAUGUGGGCCACUUGAUGUCAUUUUGAAACCAGGGGAUUGACAGGCAGUGGCCCUGCCCUUCUGUCAAACUUGGCUAGAGGGUGGGGUGGGAAGUAGUAUAGAAUAUGGCCUGCCAGCCUGAUCCAGUUCCCCACUGCUGCUGCAUGCAAUUGCUGGAGUUCCUGAAGAGGGCUUUACAAAAACCUGGUGUUCCAUCUCUUACUCAGGCAGUCUAUAAAUACAGACUUCUUAUUUCCCCCCCGGCAUAGCUUUUGGCACGCUGACAGCUUCCCCACUUUUGGAUUAGCUCAUUUGAUUGCCAUGUCUGGCAUGGUUUGAGGCUGACCUUUCACCGAGGCUAUUUCCCCCCUUGUAUUCCUAAAAAUGAAACAACAAGACAGUGUGAAUGAUUAAAGCUGCAGAUUGUUGAUUUCUGCAUAGGCAACUCCACUGUGAUUGAAAUGCUGAGAUAGCUGGUGGGCAAGCUGAGAAAUAUUAACAGCCUACGUAGUUCCCAUAAACUCAAGUUUCUAUAGAUAGGCCUACACCAUAAUUUAAUUAUAGAACCUGGCAUUUCUAAACUGAUCCACUAUUUAUUAUGAUGAAGAUUUUAUUGCUGGUCUUAUUAAAAAUUGAAACAAUUAAAUAAAAAUAGUGACAAUCCCCAUGUCCCCUCAACGUCUUUUCCAUGCAGCCAAAGGACAAGCUAGGGUGAGAGUUUAAAAAGACAGCAGGCUGCAAGAUACAGUAAGUGAGAGAAAGGAGAAUGAUAGCAUAUUGAACAGAUAUCAAAUAGUGUGGAUUCCAGUUUCUGACACUGCCUUGUAACUUAGGCUCUUCAUUGCACAUGGUUCCAAGUGUCUUGGGAUCAGUCUUCCCAGGCUUCUCCCACCCCCAGUAAAAUGCAUGCUGGUGAAGAUUGUGAAUUUGAUAACAGCUGCUGUGGGUUAAACCACAGAGCCUAGGACUUGCCAAUCAGAAGGUCGGCGGUUCGAAUCCCCACAACGGGGUGAGCUCCCGUUGCUCAGCCCCUGCUCCUACCCACCUAGCAGUUCGAAAGCACGUCAAAGUGCAAGUAGAUAAAUAGGUACCGCUCUGGUGGGAAGGUAAACAGCGUUUCCAUGCGCUGCUCUGGUUCACCAGAAGCGGCUUAGUCAUGCUGGCCACAUGACCCGGAAGCUGUACGCUGGCUCCCUUGGCCAAUAAAGCGAGAUGAGCACUGCAACCCCAGAGUCGGACACGACUGGACCUAAUGGUCAGGGGUCCCUUUAUCUUUACCUUUACAAUGGUAGGGGAAACAUUGGCAACCUCUGUCUCCACUAGCCAUUUUUUGCAAUAAAAAAAUCAAACACUUCCACUGGUCCUUCUUCCCCAGCCCCACCCCCUCCACCCACAACUCCCCAGGUCAAGAAAUAUCUUAGGUUGGAUAAUUUUGAUUUUGUAAAAAUUAACUUGUGGUGGAGGUGGGUAGGGAAUCAUCAUAUUCUCCAGGGCCACUGGUGAACUCAAAUCCAGAGUUCAUAUCACUGAGAAGUGGGAGGGAGAUGCUGGAAGACUGAGAAAGACAGGACAUCUUCUCACCAGCAUGGAGUGGUUUGAAGGUGCCUCAUCUUAGGAAGAGAGGAAGUUGCCUUAUAUGGAGUCAGGCCAUUGACCACUUCAGGCAGAAGUCAUUCCCAGCCCUACCUGAAGAUGACAGGAAUGGAAUCUGGGAGCUUCUCCAUGCAAGGGCAAGAUUCUCUGCUAUUGAGCUUUGACCCUCCCAUGGCACCAAAGUCAGGACUGCUACUAAGUAUUCGGUCUAUAGUGAGAUGUAGCCAAUCUUUAUUCUCCAACAUGAUGCUACAUGGUUCACUCCACAGUGAAGUGUAGCUACUCUUCACUCUCUGAUGUGUAUGAAAAACAAAAGGAGCUGGUCAAUAAGGAAAAGCCUAAAAUCCACAGCAGGUUGCAUUAGGAUGAACUGAAAGGUCACAAAAUAGGAAACAUGCCCUCUGAUUCCAGGUAAGUGCUAGUUUUUAUAUUUGCAAAAAAGGGGGAAGCAGCCAUUGUACUUAUUUGUCCUAGCAUCCCUAUGGGUGGCCAUAGGCACGUAGGACAGCACCUCUCCUGCACACCAGCUUAAGACGGUGAACAAUGAAAGCUAUUGUUGAGAUUCCUCUGAACUCUUACAAAUACAGUCUCUGCGUGUGUUUGAUGAAAAGCAAUAAAGGAAACUCACUUCCUCCAGUUUGGGUGAAAUGCAAGCAACAGGUACUGUACUUGACAUUACCCAGAUUUGUGAUGGGGUUUGUGAUUUUCUUCAGAAUGGCUUAGCACCUUCUGCAAACAGACAGAGCUCAGUUGCUCUGUCCCUGAGUUUCAUCCAUUAAUUAGGCUGCCCAGGGCUUUUUUUUUUAACCAGCCGGAACUCACCAGAACUCACCUCUCAGGCGGGUGCCAUUGCCAUUAUAAGAAAACAAGGGAAGCGUUCAUGGUGAGUUCCGGUAACUAUUGCACCAUGAUGUUGCCUCAGGUGUGUAUGUGUACUUUUCUAGUGUGGUCCAGGUGGGUUCAUAAAAUGGAAGGGAAGGACGGGCAAACAAGCCAUUUCCAGCCCUCCUCUUAUAUGCCAAUGGAGAAGAUGCUUUAAAAAGAAAUUCUGUGGGGGAGGGGUUUGUGUGUCUCCUUGGCCACCUGUAAACUUGUUUAUUUAAAAACAUUUCUAAACCACUGAAUAUUUUAAAAAAUCUCUUAAGCAGUGUACAAAAAUGCAAGCAUAAAGCAGUAAAAUAGCAUCAUAAGAUUAAAUAUUAAAUAAAGGCCAAUAAAUGAAUGUUCAUCUGAAAUGAACAGAUGAAUUUAGCAAUCCAAAUGGUGGCCUGCUUCAUGCAGACUGCUCACAUCUUCUUAGCUUGAAAAUGAUUUGAAAAUGGGACACAAGAAUUUGGUCAGGGCUCCUCCUGUUUUCUGUGUCUCUGCCACUGUAUGUAAUGUUCUGAAGCUUCUGGACAAGACACAUAGGAGACUGUCUGACAUUGAUUUCAUUUUCAUUGCCCUGUACUAAUAGUAAAGUCAUUUAUCUUUAAAGACUUCAUUCAAUAAAGCACAGGCCACACUGUGGAUGGAGAAUGUGUCUCUUUGUGGAUAAAUAACUGAGCUUGCUUCGGGGAAAUUCAAUUAAAAUUGGUAUCUAAUUGACUUUCUCAGUUUUCAAUUUAUAGGUUCAGUUUUUAUGGCGUUGGACAAUUUUGUUUUCAUUUUCCUGGGGGGAAAAAAUAUCCCAGAGCAUCUUUGAGGUAGUGGGAAAGUUGAGUUAGGCUCAAAAUUAGAAAUGUUUCAGGGAACCUACUUGGCAGAGUCUGAAAGCAUCCCCCUCUUGACAAUUUUUGGUUUGCAAGAUUUUACCAGUGCAGAAAGCAGUUGCCUGAAAUAUCUUUGUUGCCUUCCAUGAUUUCAGCAGGUAGCCAAAACAGAUGGAUGAUGAUGUACCAUUGUGACAAUAUCACACCUGCUAUUUGACAUCUCAUUUGACUGAUCUAAGAAGCACUGUUCUGGAUUGGCUUUGCUUUCAAUAUCACCACAAUUUGGUUACAUAGCAUGAUAAUAUUACUGGAUCAUCACAGUCUAUUUGCUUGUUGGCAAUCUCAAAA